GUCGAGAAUCUUUCACAAUGGGGGAAACCCUGAUGGAGCGACGCCGCGUGGAGGAUGAAGGUCUUCGGAUUGUAAACUCCUGUCAUGAAAGAACAAGCGAUGCGGGUGAACAGCCCGCAAAGUUGAUAGUAUUUCAAGAGGAAGGGACGGCUAACUUCGUGCCAGCAGCCGCGGUAAUACGAAGGUCCCAAGCGUUGUUCGGAAUCACUGGGCGUAAAGAGUGCGUAGGCGGCGCGGAAAGUCAGAUGUGAAAUCCCGGGGCUCAACCUCGGAACGGCAUCCGAUACUCCCGCGCUCGAGGACUGGAGGGGAGUCUGGAAUUCACGGUGUAGCAGUGAAAUGCGUAGAUAUCGUGAGGAACACUAGUGGCGAAGGCGAGACUCUGGACAGUUCCUGACGCUGAGGCACGAAGGCCAGGGGAGCGAAGGGG
rnacentral:rRNA from 1 species